UUGCAAUUGAUCUUAAUACUGCAUUCUUCAGAGAUUAGAGAGAAAAGCUUUUAGGCUGAUAUUUAAAAAUAAGGAAAUGGCUUAGAAGGAGAGGGAGAGAGAUGGGCAGAGAUUCAGAAGACAAGAGAAGCAGCGGAGGGAAAAGUUCCACUACACAGGAGAGGGGAAGAGGGACAAGGAUAAGUGUGGUGUUUACUUCAAAGAGAUGAAGUCGGAUCACAAAUGCAGGUUGAAAGAAACACACAAAAGAUAACUGUAGAAAAGUUUGAUACUGGUGUAAAAGGAGUUGAUUCUCCCUCUUUUUUUCGUUUCAGACUAGUUCUAGUCUGGCAAAUGCCAUUGCAUGCAGCAUCGACAGGAAGAUGGGACUCCAGGGAGCUGCAGAGGCUCCUUAGCACUGAUGUCCCUGAGUGAUGAGGGCAGGGGUCUCAAGAGUAAUUCUUUACUCAGCGUCUUUUGGUCCAAUUGCACGAUUUGAGCUUAAACGUGGCCUUCUGACACAGAGAAUCUGGGUGAGUAGAGCCACACCAGUUGUAAAAUCCCUAGCCAAUCUUGUUUUUUGGCAUGAAGGUGGUUGUUACGGCAUUGUUUUUAUUAUUCAUCAAAAGGAAACUUUUCAAAGUAAAUACAUCAAAUACCACAUAGCAUAAGCUCUUCUCAACCACUGCUUCCUCUCCCUUUUUCUUUUCCCCUACCUCCUAUUUUUAUAAGUAAUCGAGUUGUUACUCCAGAGUCAAUUUCAGGUCAUCUUUCAUUUGCUCAAAAUAUAUCCUUAUUGGCAAGCUAUUUUCCCGUUAUUCAGGAACACACAUAUUGUUUUACUUACAGCUGUGUGCUGUAUUUUAUGUUCUCAUAUAAAUGUUAUGCCUGGAUUAUCAUAACUAGAGCAAACUGGUUUUAGGGUUUGUUGUUGUUGUUAUUUUUAGUGUGUUCGUUGUCCCAUUACCUCCUUCUCCCCCUCCCAGAAAAAAAAAAAAAAGGAGGGGGGAGAGAAAUGUUAUUAUAUCUAUCUUUUUGUAUCUUUUCUCAUUCCUAAAGUGACUCCCUUUUUCACAUUUCUCUCCAGUAACAUAGAUCUCCCCUUUUUUCUAUGAGUUUCCCUAGUUUGGGGAAAGUUGAUAGCUGAGGUUUGAGACAGAUUAACAGGUAAGCAACAUUGCUUCCUUCCCAUGAGGGGCAGUAAAGAAGACAAGGCAGGAACGCAUUCCAGAAAAUCAUUACCUGCCAUGUAAAAAAGUAGUUUUUCUUAACAGUUUUGAACUGUUACUAGUUCCAAGGAGUGGCCCUGUUUGUAGUGUUGCUGGAUAUGGCAAAUAACAGUUCUGCAUUCACUUAUCCACUGCUUUCUUGAUUUUGGGAACAAAUCAAAUAGAAGCUGAUAUUUACAUAUCGAGGGCCCAGUGAGGGAAAGCACCUAAAUCCCAUUGGCUUCAGCAUGUUCUUAAAUAUUUACUGAAGCGAUUAACUUCCUUGAGGUCUUGAUGCAAAAGACUGUAUUUGUAGCAACAAAUAUAUAUUGUUAUUAUUAAUCUUAUUGCUGUGUUUCAUACCUGCGCAUGACAACACUUGAUACACUACAGAGACAUACAGCAUACAGAAGAGACAGAUUUUCCUCUGUUUGGAUCACUAAAGACAAAAUAUAAUUCUCCCCGUAGUUUUAGGCUGUCUGUGGCAGUGGAAGACCACUGGAGGACAUUGUGCUGCUGAAUUCCCUGCAGCCUUACUCUUUUUGUAAUUGUUUGCUUUUUUUUUUUCUUUUUUUUCUUUUUUUUUUUUUUUUUCCUUUCCUAUAUGGUUUUAUGCAAAAAGGCACAGUUUUCCCCCAACCCUGUUGAGGGCAAGACCACAUGCACAUCUUAAGCUAUUCAGUUCGUUAAUAAGCUAUGCUUGUUAAUUUGUGAGUGACUUGAAGGCUCUCGGAGCACUGAGGGAAGUCUCCUCAUGGAGGUUUUUAAAAGAGACUCUACCAGAUUUUUUGAAGCUGGGAUAUUCAGAGUUUGCAAGGGCUUGUUUCUUCUGAAUAAAUGUGUGCUAAGUGCUAAUGAUGCA
rnacentral:lncRNA from 1 species